rnacentral:rRNA from 1 species
UACGUAGGGGGCAAGCGUUGUCCGGAAUCAUUGGGCGUAAAGAGCGCGUAGGCGGCCCUGUAAGUCCGCUGUGAAAGUCAAGGGCUCAACCCUUGAAUGCCGGUGGAUACUGCAGGGCUAGAGUCCGGAAGAGGCGAGUGGAAUUCCUGGUGUAGCGGUGAAAUGCGUAGAUAUCGGGAGGAACACCAGUGGCGAAGGCGACUUCCUGGCCUGUUCUUGACGCUGAGGCGCGAAAGCUAGGGGAGCAACGGG